GCGUCGCUGGUUCAACGGUUUAGAACGUGCUACCGAAAAGAGUAAGAUCUGGGUUCGAAUUCCGGCUAACGCA